GGCGGCGUGCUUAACACAUGCAAGUCAAGGGGAACGGUUGACUUCGGUUGACCUAGUAUACUGGCGAACGGGUGAGUAACGCGUGGGUAACCUGCCUAUAAGUUUGGGAUAACACUGCUAACGCGGUGCUAAUACCGGAUGAUGCACCAUAUUCACAUGUAGAUGGUGUUAAAGCGGGCUUUCGGGCUCGUGCUUAUAGAUGGACCUGCGUCUCAUUAGUUAGUUGGCGGGGUAACGGCCCACCAAGGCGACGAUGGGUAGCCGACCUGAGAGGGUGAUCGGCCACACUGGGACUGAGAUACGGCCCAGACUCCUACGGGAGGCAGUAGUGAGGAAUAUUGCGCAAUGGAGGAAACUCUGACGCAGCAACGCCGCGUGCGGGAUGACGCUUUUAGGAGUGUAAACCGCUGUUAGUAGGGACGAAUAAGUUAUGUUUGAACAAGGCAUAGUGAUGACGGUACCUACAGAGAAAGCCCCGGCUAACUCCGUGCCAGCAGCCGCGGUAAUACGGAGGGGGCGAGCGUUGUCCGGAAUUAUUGGGCGUAAAGGGCG
rnacentral:rRNA from 1 species